rnacentral:rRNA from 1 species
CUAUUUCCCAAAAAACGAUCUCCGCCUUAUCCGGCCUACAAGGAACGUGCUUUCUCUAACCACCGCAAAAUGAAGACAGAAAUCUGCGAUACAUCAUUAAGAUCCAAAACGGGUACCGCUACGGCAAGUGGAAUAUCACUGGCAACCGCAAUAACAUGCUCAUCAAGAAUUAAUUCUUCCUCGCUGUGCCCACAUCCCUGACGAAAAAGUAAGAUCUUCGCAACUGCUUCGUGUUUAAACCCUUCAACCAGCACCAUAUCUAGCUUUGAUGCAUCCAUCCGGCUCACCAGCCAUGCCAGAUCCAACUCUUUUUGCUCCGGCGUUUCCGUCAUUAACGCCCAGCGCUGCUGACUGGCAACCAGCGUCUGUGCCGCCCCGGCUUUACGCAGCUCGUAGCUAUCUUUACCCGGUUUAUCGACAUCCAUAUCAUGAUGGGUAUGCUUAAUCAGCCCUGGCCGAAUUCCAUGCUCGCAAAGCGCCGGGAUCAGUUUUUUCAGCAGUGUUGUUUUUCCCGUGCCGCUCCAUGCGGCAAUGGCGAGUAGCGGUAUCAUGGUCUCUUUUGCCAUUGCGCGAGUUCCUCCGGCGUGUUGACGUUCACAAAUGCCUCCUUACAAUCGCUGAAAUCAACGGCGUGUCCGCCUACCUGGCGCAUAAAAAUCAUUACCCGCCGCUCGCCUGCUUGCAAAUAAGCUG